AAUCAACGCUGGCGGCGUGCCUCAGACAUGCAAGUCGAACGCGAAAGUCCCCUCGGGGAGUAAGUAGAGUGGCGUCCGGGUGAGUAACACGUAGGUAAUCUACCUUCGGGUGGGGGAAGUAACCCACGGGAAACGUUGGGCGUAAUACCGCAUAAUGCAGCGGCACCACAUGGUGACAGUUGUUAAAGACGGGGGAGUCUUCGGAUCUCGCGCCUGAAGAGGAGCCUGCGGCAGAUUAGCAGUUGGUAAGGUAACGGCUUACCAAGGCGACGAUCUGUAGCCGGCCUGAGGAGGGCGGUCGGCCACACUGACACUGAC
rnacentral:rRNA from 1 species